rnacentral:rRNA from 1 species
GACGAAGGAUGCAAGCGUUAUCCGGAUUCAUUGGGUUUAAAGGGAGCGUAGGUGGCCUUAUAAGUCAGUGGUGAAAUCUUCGAGCUUAACUCGGAAAUUGCCAUUGAUACUGUAGGGCUUGAGUAUAGUUGCCGUUGGCGGAAUAUGACAUGUAGUGGUGAAAUACAUAGAGAUGUCAUAGAACACCGAUUGCGAAGGCAGCUGACGAAACUAUAACUGACACUGAGGCUCGAAAGUGCGGGGAUCAAACAGG